rnacentral:rRNA from 1 species
GAUGAACGCUGGCGGCGUGCCUAAUACAUGCAAGUAGAACGCUGAAGGAAGGAGCUUGCUCUUUCCGGAUGAGUUGCGAACGGGUGAGUAACGCGUAGGUAACCUGCCUGGUAGCGGGGGAUAACUAUUGGAAACGAUAGCUAAUACCGCAUAACAGUAGAUGUUGCAUGAUAUCUACUUAAAAGGUGCAAUUGCACCACUACCAGCUGGACCUGCGUUGUAUUAGCUAGUUGGUGAGGUAACGGCUCACCAAGGCGACGAUACAUAGCCGACCUGAUAGGGUGAUCGGCCACACUGGGACUGAGACACGGCCCAGACUCCUACGGGAGGCAGCAGUAGGGAAUCUUCGGCAAUGGACGGAAGGCUGACCGAGCAACGCCGCGUGAGUGAAGAAGGUUGUCGGAUCGUAAAGCUCUGUUGUAAGAGAAGAACGAGUGUGAGAGUGGAAAGUUCACACUGUGACGGUAUCUUACCAGAAAGGGACGGCUAACUACGUG